rnacentral:tRNA from 1 species
GAGGGUUUAGCUCAGUGGUAGAGUGCAUGCUUAGCACGCACGAGGUCCUGGGUUCAAUCCCCAGUACCUCCA